rnacentral:rRNA from 1 species
AGCCUGAUGCAGCCAUGCCGCGUGUAUGAAGAAGGCCUUCGGGUUGUAAAGUACUUUCUGUGGGGGAGGAAGGCGGGGUCGUUAAUAGCGGCGUUGUUUGACGUUAGCGACAGAAGAAGCACCGGCUAACUCCGUGCCAGCAGCCGCGGUAAUACGGAGGGUGCGAGCGUUAAUCGGAAUUACUGGGCGUAAAGCGCAUGCAGGUGGUUUGUUAAGUCAGAUGUGAAAGCCCGGGGCUCAACCUCGGAAUAGCAUUUGAAACUGGCAGACUAGAGUACUGUAGAGGGGGGUAGAAUUUCAGGUGUAGCGGUGAAAUGCGUAGAGAUCUGAAGGAAUACCGGUGGCGAAGGCGGCCCCCUGGACAGAUACUGACACUCAGAUGCGAAAGCGUGGGGAGCAAACAGGAUUAGAUACCCUGGUAGUCCACGCCGUAAACGAUGUCUACUUGGAGGUUGUGGCCUUGAGCCGUGGCUUUCGGAGCUAACGCGUUAAGUAGACCGCC